rnacentral:rRNA from 1 species
AGUGGCGAACGGGUGAGUAAAGUAUCGGAACGUGCCCAGUCGUGGGGGAUAACGUAGCGAAAGUUACGCUAAUACCGCAUACGAUCUAUGGAUGAAAGCGGGGGAUCGCAAGACCUCGCGCGAUUGGAGCGGCCGAUAUCAUAUUAGGUAGUUGGUGGGGUAAAGGCUCACCAAGCCGACGAUCUGUAGCUGGUCUGAGAGGACGACCACCCACACUGGGACUGAGACACGGCCCACACUCCUACGGGAGGCAGCAGUGGGGAAUUUUGGACAAUGGGCGCAAGCCUGAUCCAGCCAUGCCGCGUGCAGGAUGAAGGCCUUCGGGUUGUAAACUGCUUUUGUACGGAACGAAAAGGUUUGGCCUAAUAAGCUGAGCUCAUGACGGUACCGUAAGAAUAAGCACCGGCUAACUACGUGCCAGCAGCCGCGGUAAUACGUAGGGUGCGAGCGUUAAUCGGAAUUACUGGGCGUAAAGCGUGCGCAGGCGGUUAUAUAAGACAGAUGUGAAAUCCCCGGGCUCAACCUGGGAACUGCAUUAGUGACUGCAUAGCUGGAGUACGGCAGAGGGGGAUGGAAUUCCGCGUGUAGCAGUGAAAUGCGUAGAUAUGCGGAGGAACACCGAUGGCGAAGCAAUCCCCUGGGCCUGUACUGACGCUCAUGCACGAAAGCGUGGG